AGAGUUUGAUCAUGGCUCAGGAUGAACGCUAGCGGCAGGCUUAAUACAUGCAAGUCGUGGGGCAGCAGGGGUAGCAAUACUCGCUGGCGACCGGCAAACGGGUGCGGAACACGUACACAACCUUCCUUAAAGUGGGGAAUAGCCCAGGGAAACUUGGAUUAAUACCCCGUAAUAUUAUUAGAUGGCAUCAUUUGAUAAUUAUAGCUCCGGCGCUUAAAGAUGGGUGUGCGGCUGAUUAGGUAGUUGGCGGGGUAACGGCCCACCAAGCCUACGAUCAGUAACUGGUGUGAGAGCACGACCAGUCACACGGGCACUGAGACACGGGCCCGACUCCUACGGGAGGCAGCAGUAAGGAAUAUUGGUCAAUGGACGCAAGUCUGAACCAGCCAUGCCGCGUGGAGGAUGAAGGUCCUCUGGAUUGUAAACUUCUUUUAUCUGGGAAGAAACCCAAGGUUUCUACUUUGGUUGACGGUACCAGAUGAAUAAGCACCGGCUAACUCCGUGCCAGCAGCCGCGGUAAUACGGAGGGUGCAAGCGUUAUCCGGAUUCACUGGGUUUAAAGGGUGCGUAGGCGGGUUGGUAAGUCCGUGGUGAAAUCUCCAAGCUUAACUUGGAAACUGCCGUGGAUACUCUCAAUCUUGAAUAUAGUGGAGGUGAGCGGAAUAUGUCAUGUAGCGGUGAAAUGCUUAGAUAUGACAUAGAACACCCAUUGCGAAGGCAGCUCGCUACACUAUUAUUGACGCUGAGGCACGAAAGCGUGGGGAUCAAACAGGAUUAGAUACCCUAGUAGUCC
rnacentral:rRNA from 1 species